UACGUCCCUGCUCCUUGCACACACCGCCCGUCGUUCCACCCGAGCGACUCUUGGGUGAGGCGUGGUCUUCUUUGGCUGCGUCGAAUCUUAGUUUUGUAAGGGGGAA
rnacentral:rRNA from 1 species